AUGGCCGCCGGAGACGUCGCGACGGUGUUCCUCGAGAUGAGCCUCGGCACCCGCCUCGCCGUCUCCUUCCCCGCCCCGUCCACCACCGUCGCCGACCUCAAGCGCAGAGUGAGCCAUGAGCACGCCGCAUGUUUCCCCCACCUUGGCCAGAUCGCCGUCCAAUCCAUCAAGAUCGAGCACGGAGGGUCGUGGUUCCACCUCGCCGACUCCAUGGCCGUCCGGGACGCUUUCCUGUUCCAAGGGAUCAACGAACGCUGGCACCUGCAGGUGGACGCAUCUCCGCAAGUUGACCAAGGGAUGGUCACCCAGCAGGGGCACAGCGGCGGCGCAGACUCUGCAAAUCACUCUGCACCUGCGCCUGGUCGUGGCCAUGGAUGCGGGGGGUCGUCGAGCAGGAGGUGCGGCAAGGCAUCAAGCUCUGAUGAGAUGCUGCCUGAUCAGGCUGAAGUUGAAGUUGAAGCUGAAAGGGAGCAACCAUUGACAGGCAAGGGCGAAGGAAGCAGCAACGGGGCAGAACAAGACAGAGAGCAGGGGGCAUGGGGGAGAAGGCUGCGGCCGAGGACUCAAGCUGGUAAAACACCAAUUACUUUGUCAAGCGGCAGCAGCUCAGAGUCGGAGGAAAUGGACACCAACACCGUCGGCGGCGGCAGCAGCAGCAGCUCGGAGUCGGAGGAGAUGGACAACAACACCGUCGACGCGCCGGCGCCGCAGUUCGUCGUCGAGCUCAAGAAAUGCCACUUUGUGAAGCAGAAUGGGCAGUACCUGAACGUGCCCAUGGAGUUCGGCGUUGUGCACCGGUACACCGAGAAGAAGAAGGUGCUGCUGCGGAUGGGGGGCGAGUCGUGGGCCGUCAACCUCAAGCACGGCCUCACGCCCACCGGCAGGCCCCGCACGUCCCUCCGGUACGGGUGGCAGCAGUUCCGCGUCGACAACCGCCUCCGCGUGGGCGAGACCUGCUUCUUCCGAGCCCUCCCCGGGGACGACGACGGCGACCACCAUGUGCUCAAGGUGGAGGUGCGCAGGCUAGACGGCAGCUACGCAACCUGA
rnacentral:rRNA from 1 species